UUAGUGUUUUUCGUGUUCCAUACAAUUUAUUAUUCAUUAAGCUAAAUUAUGUGAAGAAUAAAAAUAUUUUUAUUUUUAUAAACAUGUUUUUCAUGUAUUUUCCCACAAACCCUUUACCCACCAACUUCCAAAAACUCAAAACAUUUAGAAAUAGGACUUAAGAAUGUUUUAAAUUAAGUCCAAGACUCAAAAAUAAACAUGACUUCCAGUUAUUUACUAUUUCAGACAGAAUAUGUACAUAGCCAUUUAGAGAAUGUUUUGAGACAAGUUCACAUAAUUCUGGAGGCUCUGUCAGAAGUCUAACUUCAUAGUUUCAGAGCCCUUUUACAGAUUGGUUCUGGUGAGUUUCAAUACAGAUUUUAAGAUCUCAUUAUAUAAAAUACGGAUGCCUCCUCUUUUUUUUUUCGCAUUGAUUUUGUACUUUCAGAGAUAUCUUCCUUUGAUUAAGGUGCUAUCAGGAGAUAGUGAAAGACCAUAACCAAGUAGCUAGUAAAUGCAAAGGCAAAGUGACUUUCAGUGAAACACACAACCCUUA
rnacentral:lncRNA from 1 species